UACGUAGGUGGCAAGCGUUGUCCGGAUUUAUUGGGCGUAAAGGGCGCGUAGGUGGUGCGGUAAGUCUGUCGUGAAAUCUCCCGGCUCAACUGGGAGGGUGCGGUGGAGACUGCCGGUACUGGAGGCACUCAGAGGCCGGUGGAAUUCCCGGUGUAGUGGUGAAAUGCGUAGAGAUCGGGAGGAACACCAGUGGCGAAGGCGGCCGGCUGGGGGUGACCUGACACUGAGGUGCGAAAGCGUGGGGAGCGAACCG
rnacentral:rRNA from 1 species